CCGCCUUGUGCCUCGCUCGGUACAACGUCAACUAUAUUGUAUCUUGAGCUGGAUACAUCACACCUAGUUUUACAGGCUUUCGGUGUCAUGUAAGGGGCCAUAGCAAACUCCAGGACUAUCUUUGAGUGCGGUGACGUCGACAGAAGGUGGCGGCACUGUAAUUAUUGGCCCUGACAGUA
rnacentral:snoRNA from 1 species